CCAUUUCCUCCUCCAUCUCUUUGGUAAAUACAAUUUGGUGUCAAGUUGACUCUGGGGGUCCGGGAACCUCACAAAACGCAGGGCAUCCCAGUCACUGCUCCCCUUUCUGGCCCUCUCCUGGUUUCCAGAUUGUCACCCUGGGGAAUGGCGUCCCAGCCCCUGGGAACAUGUCUCAGAACAGCCUGACCCCGCUGAUGGCAGCUUGCCAUUCUGGCCCCAUGGGGCUUCGCUCGGGGCCUUCCCUGUGUGCGAGGCCUGCCCACCUGUUCCCUAGAUGCCUGGGGCCGCUGUGCUUGGAACAUGCACGCCAGUUGUCCCAAGGACACAAAAGCGUUUGACAGUAAAAAAAACGAUUGUGAUAGUUUUUGUGGAAAACAGGGAAGAAAAGAAAAACGUUCAUUCAACUGUUUGCUUCUAUUUGCAUAAAGAAACUCUGGCCAGAUAGGCUUCAAGAAUAAGCCAGACUUGAAUAUCAAAGUCCCAAGGAAUGAAAUGAAGAAACACAUGCUGGCUUUGAACCCAGGAGGCAGCCCCAUGCCGCAGCAGCCCCAGAGGAAAAAAAUCCAGACACGAAAAGAAAAAGUAAACUCUGCGUGGGACUGCUCAUUUUAAUUUCCAGAAGAGAAAAGAGCCUUCCUGACUCAGAGACAUGUCACAGUGAAGGCUACCCAGCAACCACAGGCCUGUCUGUAACACGUGGUGAGCACCCUGGAGGUUGUGGCGAGGCUGUGGGCCUGGAGAAGGGGAGCCAGCAGCACGGCACUGGCCAAAGACUGGACCCCUGGCCAGGCUCCCUGGUGUCUGAUUUGGCUUCUCCGAAGCAAAACAUCUUUUCUGCAAAAACGCGGGAACAUGAGGGCAGGUUGUGUGUAUCUGUUCACUUCUGUGUCCCCAGCCCCAGCAUGUGCCAGACACUCACUGAGCAUUUGUGUAGUUUAUUGAAUAAUGACUCUUUUUACAAACUCCCUUGAAGGGGAGCAAGAAUUAUCCCUCUGCCCUCUAGGUCCUUCUGGCGGGUCUAAGAAUUAAAUUUAUGUGAG
ensembl:lncRNA